GUGCCAGCCGCCGCGGUAAUACGUAGGUGGCAAGCGUUGUCCGGAAUUAUUGGGCGUAAAGCGCGCGCAGGCGGUUUCUUAAGUCUGAUGUGAAAUCUUGCGGCUCAACCGCAAGCGGCCAUUGGAAACUGGGAGACUUGAGUGCAGAAGAGGAGAGUAGAAUUCCAGGUGUAGCGGUGAAAUGCGUAGAGAUGUGGAGGAAAACCAGUGGCGAAGGCGACUCUCUGGUCUGUAACUGACGCUGAGGCGAGAAAGCGUGGGGAGCGAACAGGAUUAGAUACCCUGGUAGUCCACGCCGUAAACGAUGAGUGCUAAGUGUUAGAGGGUUUCCGCCCUUUAGUGCUGCAGCUAACGCAUUAAGCACUCCGCCUGGGGAGUACGGCCGCAAGGCUGAAACUUAAAUGAAUUGGCGG
rnacentral:rRNA from 1 species